UGGGGAAUAUUGCACAAUGGGCGCAAGCCUGAUGCAGCCAUGCCGCGUGUAUGAAGAAGGCCUUCGGGUUCUAAAGUACUUUCAGCGAGGAGGAAGGCGGUAAGGUUAAUAACCUUAUCGAUUGACGUUACUCGCAGAAGAAGCACCGGCUAACUCCGUGCCAGCAGCCGCGGUAAUACGGAGGGUGCAAGUGUUACUCGGACUUACUGGGCGUAAAGCGCACGCAGGCGGUCUGUCAAGUCGGAUGUGAAAUCCCCGGGCUCAACCUGGGAACUGCAUUCGAAACUGGCAGGCUAGAGUCUUGUAGAGGGGGGUAGAAUUCCAGGUGUAGCGGUGAAAUGCGUAGAGAUCUGGAGGAAUACCGGUGGCGAAGGCGGCCCCCUGGACAAAGACUGACGCUCAGGUGCGAAAGCGUGGGGAGCAAACA
rnacentral:rRNA from 1 species